rnacentral:tRNA from 1 species
GCCCCUGUAUCCCAAUGGCAGAGGAAGACGACUUAAAAUCGUUUCAGUGUCGGUUCGAGUCCGACCAGGGGCA